rnacentral:ncRNA from 2 species
CACAGUGACACGCGGUGCCCGGUUCCGGGCUGAGAUGAAACGCGUUGAACCUGAUCUAGAGAUGGCCGUCAAUAGGCGGCCUUUGGCCUAGCGGAGGGAUGUCGCGGAUGAGUAUU